CAUGAACGCUAGCGGCAGGCUUAGUACAUGCAAGUCGUGGGGCAGCAGGUCUGUAGCAAUACAGAUGCUGGCGACCGGCAAACGGGUGCGUAACACGUACGCAACCUUCCCGUUACUGGGGAAUAGUCCAGGGAAACUUGGAUUAAUACCCCAUAUUAUAUUGGUUAGGCAUCUGACUGAUAUCAAAGCUUCGGCGGUAACGGAUGGGCGUGCGGUUGAUUAGGUAGUUGGCGGGGUAACGGCCCACCCAGCCUACGAUCAAUAGCUGAUGUGAGAGCAUGAUCAGCCAAACGGGCACUGAGACACGGGCCCGACUCCUACGGGAGGCAGCAGUAAGGAAUAUUGGGCAAUGGACGAAAGUCUGACCCAGCCAUGCCGCGUGAAGGAUGAAGGUCCUCUGGAUUGUAAACUUCUUUUAUCUGGGGCGAAAAUCGGUUAUUCUUAGCCGCUUGACAGUACCAGAUGAAUAAGCACCGGCUAACUCCGUGCCAGCCGCCGCCGUAACAC
rnacentral:rRNA from 1 species